GAUGAAGAACGUAGCGAAAUGCGAUACGUAAUGUGAAUUGCAGAAUUCAGUGAAUCAUCGAAUCUUUGAACGCAUAUUGCGCUCUCUGGUAUUCCGGAGAGCAUGCUUGUUUGAGUAUCAGUAAACACCUCAACUCCCUUUUCUUUUUUGAAAUUGGAGCUGGACUUGAGUGAUCCCAACGCUUUCUUCCAAGAAAGUGGCGGGUUGCUUGAAAUGCAGGUGCAGCUGAACUUUUCUCUGAGCUAUAGGCAUAUCUAUUUAGUCUGCCUAAAAAACAGAUUAUUACCUUUGCUGCAGCUAACAUAAAGGAGACUAGUUCUUGUGCUGACUGAUGCAGGAUUCACAGAGACAGCUUCGGCUGACUUUGUAAACUCGAUCUCAAAUCAAGUAAGACUACCCGCUGAACUUAAGCAUAUCAAUAAGCGGAGGA
rnacentral:misc_RNA from 1 species